CCCUGCAUUCGAAAGUGAUCACGGUCCCGCUCGUGGCCGGGUCAUUGAUAGUGCAGGCAGAGGAGUGCGAAAGCUUUCCCGUGUUUGGGGGGGUCCGUGUCCCCUUCAAACCCUGUUGCUGUCGGACA
ensembl:snoRNA SNORA71 Small nucleolar RNA SNORA71